rnacentral:rRNA from 1 species
UACGUAGGGUGCGAGCGUUAAUCGGAAUUACUGGGCGUAAAGCGUGCGCAGGCGGUUUUGUAAGACAGGUGUGAAAUCCCCGGGCUUAACCUGGGAACUGCACUUGUGACUGCAAGGCUGGAGUACGGCAGAGGGGGAUGGAAUUCCGCGUGUAGCAGUGAAAUGCGUAGAUAUGCGGAGGAACACCGAUGGCGAAGGCAAUCCCCUGGGCCUGUACUGACGCUCAUGCACGAAAGCGUGGGGAGCAAACAGG